rnacentral:ncRNA from 1 species
CUUAUCAAGAGUGGUGGAGGGAACGGCCCUGUGAAGCCCGGCAACCUGCGUGUAUUGCAAGGUGCCAAGUCCGGCGGAGAGACGAAAGAUGAG